rnacentral:rRNA from 1 species
UACGUAGGUGGCAAGCGUUGUCCGGAUUUACUGGGCGUAAAGGGCGUGCAGGCGGUCUGUUAAGUUCAGGGUGAAAGCUCCCGGCUCAACUGGGAGAGGUCCUUGGAUACUGGCAGACUUGAGGGAGGUAGAGGAGAGUGGAAUUCCCGGUGUAGUGGUGAUAUGCGUAGAUAUCGGGAGGAACACCAGUGGCGAAGGCGGCUCACUGGCCCGGUACUGACGCUGAGGUGCGAAAGCCAGGGGAGCGAACGGG